UACAGGGGGUGCAAACGUUGCUCGGAAUCAUUGGGCGUAAAGCGCACGUAGGCGGUUCGUUAUGUCGGAUGUGAAAGCCCUUGGCUUAACCGAGGAAGUGCAUCCGAAACUGGCGAGUUAGAGUACGAAAGAGGAUCGCGGAAUUCCCGGUGUAGAGGUGAAAUUCGUAGAUAUCGGGAGGAACACCGGUGGCGAAGGCGGCGAUCUGGGUCGAUACUGACGCUGAGGUGCGAAAGCGUGGGGAGCAAACAGG
rnacentral:rRNA from 1 species